AGAGUUUGAUCCUGGCUCAGAUUGAACGCUGGCGGCAGGCCUAACACAUGCAAGUCGAGCGGUAGAGAGAAGCUUGCUUCUCUUGAGAGCGGCGGACGGGUGAGUAAUGCCUAGGAAUCUGCCUGGUAGUGGGGGAUAACGUUCGGAAACGGACGCUAAUACCGCAUACGUCCUACGGGAGAAAGCAGGGGACCUUCGGGCCUUGCGCUAUCAGAUGAGCCUAGGUCGGAUUAGCUAGUUGGUGAGGUAAUGGCUCACCAAGGCGACGAUCCGUAACUGGUCUGAGAGGAUGAUCAGUCACACUGGAACUGAGACACGGUCCAGACUCCUACGGGAGGCAGCAGUGGGGAAUAUUGGACAAUGGGCGAAAGCCUGAUCCAGCCAUGCCGCGUGUGUGAAGAAGGUCUUCGGAUUGUAAAGCACUUUAAGUUGGGAGGAAGGGUUGUAGAUUAAUACUCUGCAAUUUUGACGUUACCGACAGAAUAAGCACCGGCUAACUCUGUGCCAGCAGCCGCGGUAAUACAGAGGGUGCAAGCGUUAAUCGGAAUUACUGGGCGUAAAGCGCGCGUAGGUGGUUUGUUAAGUUGGAUGUGAAAUCCCCGGGCUCAACCUGGGAACUGCAUUCAAAACUGACAAGCUAGAGUAUGGUAGAGGGUGGUGGAAUUUCCUGUGUAGCGGUGAAAUGCGUAGAUAUAGGAAGGAACACCAGUGGCGAAGGCGACCACCUGGACUGAUACUGACACUGAGGUGCGAAAGCGUGGGGAGCAAACAGGAUUAGAUACCCUGGUAGUCCACGCCGUAAACGAUGUCAACUAGCCGUUGGGAGCCUUGAGCUCUUAGUGGCGCAGCUAACGCAUUAAGUUGACCGCCUGGGGAGUACGGCCGCAGGUAAAACUCAAAUGAAUUGACGG
rnacentral:rRNA from 1 species